UAUUAACAAACAGCCUACAACAAAAGUUUAAAUUGAGUGGUAGUUGCCGGCUGGAGUCAAAAAAAACAUUUUAUCUAAAAAGUCUUUUCGCAAACUUAGUUUUUUUUUAGCGCUGCAGAGAAGAAUCAAUAAACAUUUACCAACAAGAUUAGUAACCGAAAGCGAGUUUCAGAUUGAGGUCGUGCAUUUUUUACGAGGAGCUGCAGGCAGGAAUGGGGGGAGGAAAAUGAGAGCAGUUAAAAGGAAUACGCUUGAAAGAGAUUCUUCUUCGAGUUAAAAAUAUAAUUUUCAAGUAGUGAGAAGUUUAAAUAACAAUUACAUGUAUCUAAUUAUAUUUUUGAUAUCUAAUAGUUUAUGAAUUCAA